GACCCCAUCGUCUAGAGGCCUAGGACACGACCCUUUCACGGUAGGUACCGGGGUUCGAAUCCCCGUGGGGUCGCCA
rnacentral:tRNA from 1 species